AUGGCUCCCGACCCCGAGGAGAGCUCGACCCCGGGCACAGCGACCCCGCCUCCCGCCUGGGGCCUGCGGGUCACUCGCGUUUCCCGGGCACGAGAUGGAUGAACCUCCUCCCAGAAAUUACCCCACAAUCCCGCAAAGGACUUGCCGUCCCGACUUGAAUCACUACAGAUAGUGUUGCCUGUACUAGAACUGGUUGAAAUGGGAUCACUCAUCAUGUCAUCGUGUGUCUGCCUUCUCUUCAUGUCACACAAUGACACUCAUCAGGUUGAUGUGUGCGGCAGCAUCAGUCUUUUUAGUGUUGCUGAGUGCUGCUGCUUUGUGUGAACAGGCCUGGAAAUAACGUAUUCACUCUCCUGUGAUGGACAUUUGGGUUGGAUCCAGUGUUUGGCUAUUAGGAAUAAAGCUGCUCUGAAA